CCCGACGGGGUGCAGCAGGCGCGAAACCUUUACACUGCACGACAGUGCGAUAAGGGGACCCCAAGUGCGCAGGCAUAGUGCCUGUGCUUUUCUGGACUGUAGGGCGGUCCAGGAACAAGGGCUGGGCAAGACCGGUGCCAGCCGCCGCGGUAAUACCGGCAGCCCAAGUGAUGGCCGCUGUUAUUGGGCCUAAAGCGUCCGUAGCUGGCCGCGUAAGUCCGUCGGGAAAUCCGCCCGCUCAACGGGCGGCCGUCCGGCGGAAACUGCUCGGCUUGGGACCGGGAGGCCUGAGGGGUACGAUCGGGGUAGGAGUGAAAUCCUGUAAUCCCGCUCGGACCGCCGAUGGGGAAACCACCUCAGGAACACGGAUCCGACAGUGAGGGACGAAAGCCAGGGUCUCGAACCGGAUUAGAUACCCGGGUAGUCCUGGCCGUAAACGAUGCCUGUUAGGUGUGACUCCCACUACGAGUGGGUGUUGUGCCGUAGGAAGCCGCUAAACA
rnacentral:rRNA from 1 species